rnacentral:rRNA from 1 species
AWRGKUUCCGUAGGUGAACCUGCGGAAGGAUCAUUACCGAAUUGUCAAACGGGUUGUUGCUGGUCUUCAAACGGGGACAUGUGCACGCUCUGUUUACACAUCCACUCACACCUGUGCACCCUCCGUAGUUCUAUGGUCUGGGGGACCCUGUCUUCCUGCCGUGGUUCUACGUCUUUACACACACUCUGUAAUAAAGUCUUAUGGAAUGUAUGCCGCGUCUAACGCAAUACAAUACAACUUUCAGCAACGGAUCUCUUGGCUCUCGCAUCGAUGAAGAACGCAGCGAAAUGCGAUAAGUAAUGUGAAUUGCAGAAUUCAGUGAAUCAUCGAAUCUUUGAACGCACCUUGCGCCCCUUGGCUAUUCCGAGGGGCAUGCCUGUUUGAGUAUCAUGAACACCUCAACUCUCAUGGUUCGCCAUGAUGAGCUUGGACUCUGGGGGUUUUGCUGGCCUGCGGUCGGCUCCCCUCAAAUGAAUCAGCCUCCCAGUGUUUGGUGGCAUCACGGGUGUGAUAAAUAUCUACGCUCGCGGUUGUCUGCCAUGUAACCUUUGGUGACAAAGGUUUGCUGGAGCUCACAGAUGUCUCUCCUCGGCGAGGACAGCUUUUUUGAACGUUCGAUCUCAAAUCAGGUAGGACUACCCGCUGAACUUAAGCAUAUCAAUAAGCGGAGGAAAAGAAACUAACAAGGAUUCCCCUAGUAACUGCGAGUGAAGCGGGAAGAGCUCAAAUUUAAAAUCUGGCGUGCCUCUGGUCGUCCGAGUUGUAGUCUAGAGWAGCG